rnacentral:rRNA from 1 species
CCUACGGGAGGCAGCAGUGGGGAAUAUUGCACAAUGGGGGAAACCCUGAUGCAGCGACGCCGCGUGAGUGAAGAAGUAUUUCGGUAUGUAAAGCUCUAUCAGCCGGGAAGAAAAUGACGGUACCUGUUUAAGAAGCCCCGGCUAACUACGUGCCAGCAGCCGCGGUAAUACGUAGGGGGCAAGCGUUAUCCGGAUUUACUGGGUGUAAAGGGAGCGUAGACGGCAGCACAAGUCUGGAGUGAAAUGCCGGGGCUUAACCCCGGAACUGCUUUGGAAACUGUGCAGCUAGAGUGCAGGAGAGGUAAGUGGAAUUCCUAGUGUAGCGGUGAAAUGCGUAGAUAUUAGGAGGAACACCAGUGGCGAAGGCGGCUUACUGGACUGUAACUGACGUUGAGGCUCGAAAGCGUGGGGAGCAAACAGGAUUAGAUACCCUAGUAGUC